GAGCCAGUGGUGUAAUGGUUUGAGCAUUGGACUAUUUCUCUGAAGACCAGGGUUUGAAUCCCUGCUCAGUCA